GAUUUCUGGCGUGGUGCGCCGAGCCCGCUUCCUUUUGGGAGUGAGUGCUUGUUGUGCGCCUGCCAUCCUUCGGGAGUGCUUCCCGUGCCGCAAGGUGCGGGGUCAAAGGCGCUUCCGAUCGUUUACUUUGAAAAAAUUAGAGUGUUCAAAGCAGGCUAGACGCUGUGAAUACAUUAGCAUGGAAUAAUAAGAUAGGACUUGGGUUCUAUUUUGUUGGUUUCUAGGACUUAAGUAAUGAUUGAUAGGGACAGUUGGGGGUGCUAGUAUUUGACGGCCAGAGGUGAAAUUCUUGGAUUCGUUAAAGACUAACUAAUGCGAAAGCAUU
rnacentral:rRNA from 1 species